AAAUUGAAGAGUUUGAUCAUGGCUCAGAUUGAACGCUGGCGGCAGGCCUAACACAUGCAAGUCGGACGGUAGCACAGAGAGCUUGCUCUUGGGUGACGAGUGGCGGACGGGUGAGUAAUGUCUGGGGAUCUGCCCGAUAGAGGGGGAUAACCACUGGAAACGGUGGCUAAUACCGCAUAACGUCGCAAGACCAAAGAGGGGGACCUUCGGGCCUCUCACUAUCGGAUGAACCCAGAUGGGAUUAGCUAGUAGGCGGGGUAAUGGCCCACCUAGGCGACGAUCCCUAGCUGGUCUGAGAGGAUGACCAGCCACACUGGAACUGAGACACGGUCCAGACUCCUACGGGAGGCAGCAGUGGGGAAUAUUGCACAAUGGGCGCAAGCCUGAUGC
rnacentral:rRNA from 1 species